rnacentral:hammerhead_ribozyme from 1 species
AUCCAGCUGACGAGUGCCAAAUAAGACGAAACGCGCGUCCUGGAU